CCUUAAAAUAACCUUACUCUGAAUUGCAAAGAUAUUGAACAACGCCCAGAUAACCGACUACCUCAUCUGACCACCUGUGUCAUUGCUUGUGUGUCGGUGGGUGGAGUAAAUCAUCUUCUUGUUACUACAAAAUCUUUACUCAACAUGGCGGUUCUUUGGAUCUUUCAGCAAAUCGGACAGGAGGCUGAAUCUGCUGAGACGUGAUACAGACGAAAAGUCUACAACAAACAAAACUCAAAACUCAAAGCUUUGGGAAGGGAGGAGAGGACACGAGGAAGAGAGACAGAAACGAGAAGAGAGAAGAGGAGUGGAGUAACUGGAGGACAAAACAGAAGAUUUGGAGAUCCUGCAGCGAGUUUUUCCAAAGGCUAUACUCUCCACUGAGGAUUAUUGAUCCAGAGAUCAUUUCUUCACUUCUGCAAGGAACCAACAAAGUGAAACAAACGGUGAUCAUUUCGGGGUGCGUGGAAGAUCUGUGAACUGUCUGAAGUAGCUUCCAGGUGCAUCACAGUGCUUUUAUCAAGUCUAAAGCAGGUGUAAUAAACUGCACCACUGAGCGUGACCAUGCCUAAAGCCCUGGGAUGGAGUUCAUCAACAUGCACCUACUGCUGUACUCUGUUUAAGUUAUGGCAUCUUGAAGGCUUUGCAUAGAGAAGGAGUUGUAUUGACUUGUACUCCAAAUGCAGGACUGCUUCGAGGGAGUUACCAUGGUGAUGUAGGAGGUGAAAAGCAGCAGGUCUUGAUAAUAAGAGAUAAACCAGGGCUCUAAAACUGUGGGAUGCUCUGUAAGAUAAAAUCUAAAUAAUGCUGUAAAGGAUUUCACAAAAUGUAGUUCCAAAAAUGUUAAUGUGUGUAUGCUU